rnacentral:misc_RNA from 1 species
CAUGCUGUCUAAAUUUUGAGUUUUUUCUUUGUUUUUGGUCACUUCCAUGCAAGAUUUGAAAUGGGUGUUUCAAGAACCAGCCAGUGAUGCUAAAAUGAAGCUAUUAUUCUCUUUUUUGCCUGGUUAGUAUGGUUCUUGAUGAAGCAAAAUGCAACUCUGUGCAGAUCUGCUACCAUGAGAAACAACUACAUAAAGCUUGUUUUAGUACUGCUUUGUCUUGUUUCUGUGGUUUACAGUGAUACAGAUCCCAACGACUGGACUAUUCUCAAAGCAUUCAGAGAUGGGUUAGAGAACCCAGAGCUCUUGGAGUGGCCUGCGACUGGUGAUGACCCAUGUGGCCAAUCCUGGAAGCAUGUUCAAUGUGUUGGUUCAAGGGUCUCUCAAAUUCAGGUACAAAAUAUGAGUUUGAAGGGCUCUUUGCCUCAGAACCUCAACCAGCUCAUCAUGCUCAAUAACUUAGGCCUCCAGAGGAACCAAUUUUCUGGGCCUUUACCAUCCUUCAGUGGUUUAUCGAAACUGCAGUAUGCUUAUUUGGAUUACAAUCAGUUCGAUUCUGUCCCAUCUGACUUCUUUGUAGGUUUAGAGAGUUUGCAAUUCUUGGCAUUGGAUAACAACCCUUUCAAUGCCACUGGGUGGACAUUCCCCAUGGACCUGAAUGUUUCUUCACAAUUGACCAAUCUUUCUUGUAUGAAUUGUAAUUUGGCUGGUCCACUGCCUGAUUUUCUAGGGAGCUUGUUCUCUCUGCGGAACCUGAAACUCUCAGGCAAUAAUUUAUCAGGAGAAAUUCCGCUGAGCUUCGGUGUUUUGCCUCUACAGAAUCUAUGGCUAAAUGAUCAAAAAGGCGGUGGCUUGAGUGGUACAAUUGAUGUGGUGGCAACUAUGGAAUCGGUAAGUGUUCUGUGGCUUCAUGGGAAUCAGUUCACAGGUAAAAUUCCAAAGAGCAUUGGUAAUCUGACUCAUUUGAAGGAUCUCAAUCUGAAUAGUAAUAGACUUGUUGGAUUAAUUCCUGAUAGCUUGAAAAAUAUGCCACUAGAGCAUUUAGAUUUGAACAAUAAUCAGCUAAUGGGCCCA